rnacentral:lncRNA from 1 species
GAUCUAAAGAAAUCGGAGAAAAACCUCGAAGGGUUAGGGUUUCAAAAGAACCCUAUAAAUGAGAAAGACUUUGAAAGACCACUGAUCUUAGUCGGAGAGGUGAGAAAUAGGCUCUGACAACCUUGGUACGCCGGAGCAAGGCCGGAGAUGAUCUUGAACCUCGAAUCAAUAGAGGUCUGGGUUUGACCCUUCAUAGUCAGGCCUCAAAUCUUUAGGUAUCAGGCGCGUGAGAGCAAGAUAAGCUGGGUAUAAGACUCUCAUGGCCUAGGAAGCCAUGGAUCUCGGCGGGUUUCGAGCUGGAGAUGGUGAGAGGCGGCUAGGUUUCGGGAAACUUUAAGAGAGUUUGAGAGCUCAGGAGUGGCGGUUGGUGAGAAAUGAGGUAGGGUCGGGGGUGUUGGUGGAUUAAACAAGGGAAAGGA